CGUUUACUCUUCUACUUGACAAAUUCUCCUCACGGCAUCAGAUUCUUCGAUUCCCCAGAACAACAACGAUCCUAAUCUAUGAACUGAGGAAAAGACACUCGCGACAACUCUCAAAUAGCUAAACACUCGAGGUAAAUCGAGUCCGAGAGUAAAUUAUCGGACGUUCCUACUCUCCACGAUCUAAGAUCGAUCUUUGAGCGAUCUACGUACAAACGUACCGGCUUCUCACUUUCUCGUUCGCGGAUCGACUGGCGGAUAUCGUUGUCGUACCUGGCCGACCGAUCGCCACUGUGCACCUGUUCCCUCGACAGGACAACGUGUCUCCGUUCGAAUUGUCUACUCGUAGUGGGAGUAGAGUGUACACCGUACACCUUAGCCUUAAAGUAUGACGUCAUUGAUCCGUUGACUCGGAAGCGAGACAAGUUACGAAACCUAACCAUGGAAUCGUUAUGGAUUUUUCGCGCCGAUCGGUAAUCUUCGUCCUUUUGCAACGAAAAUAGGGUUUCCAUGGAAAAUCGUCGUAUGAAUGAACGUGCAUAGGAAAGAGGAAAUUAUGUAACGUAGCUCUUAUGAUCGAUUUUUCGCGACGACCUUCGAGCUUUUACAAUAACGUGGAAAAUUUCUAUAAAUUCUGGAGAAUUAAUCGACUAUCGAACACGAAAAGGAGAAAAUUGUGAAACGUAGUUUUUAUCUAUUCUGAGAUGUAAUUUACCUCGGGGUAAAGGUCUGUAAUGAGUUUCAUCUGGAAAUUGCGAAUUGAUUUACUCAGACCGUUGGUCUCUUCCUAUCUGUUCGAAACUGUCCCCGUAGUUUAAGGGAGGUUUGAAAUUAAAGUAACGAGAUCAGAUCAAAAGUUGAUAACAUCACGUGGAAAUAUUGAGAGGAAAAGCAUUGUUAGUAACCUUCUUUUACGUGCUAUUAUUUCUUAUCGCUCUGUUUGAAUUUUCAUGCACUUUGUGAAAAAAUACUUUGUGAAAAAAUAAAGAACUGUGAAUAGUUCUUUACUAACUUCAAAGAAUAAUUAACUGUGGAAAUUAGUCAAAUGUGAAGGUAAAUCGCGAGGCAUUAGGUGGAAGACGAGUGCUCUUCGAGGUUUCCACUCUCUGGGGAUUACAAAGAGAUGAAUGAUCCUCGACAACUCUCCAACAAAGGUAUUUCGAGCCCAUCUGAUAUCCAAUUGCAGGUCAUUUGUGCCUACAUUCUCGACAUUUAUCAACACCAGUUUGUUGAAAGUUGAUUUAUCGUAUCAAACUACUCCUUGAUGGAAGAUCUGACCCAAAGCGCAGACUACCCAAUGGCCAUUCAAUACUACUCACUUCCUCCAAAAUAAUCCCUAAUGGCUGGCUGACUAUUAGGAACGUUUCUAAGGAUUGCUUCCUGCUUUCAAUUACUAUUUCUAUAGGCAGGGUCUCUCUUGGAUCAAUGGUGGCAAAUAAUCUAUCAUUGAACGAGUUUCUCCCUUUGAAUGUUGUGAUGUGGAAAAUUUCUCCGUAUUGAAGGAAGCACUUCUUCUACGAGAAGAAUUUCUAGCAGUGGGAAGAUUGAACUGAACGUUUCCGGAACUGAAUAAUUCUAAGAAUAAAGAAGAACGGAAGACCAUUGGAAAAAUUUCAAAUUAAGGAUGCUAAGACGGAGGAGUUGUGACAGAAAAAAGAUUAUAGAAGAGCAUAACGAAAAUUGUAAUGAUAAGAAAUCGUUUAAGUAUUUCUCGUAGAAAAAGAGUUUUCAAGAAAUAACG